GACGAACGCUGGCGGCGUGCUUAACACAUGCAAGUCGAACGGAAAGGCACUCACCUUGGUGGGGGUGCUCGAGUGGCGAACGGGUGAGUAACACGUGGGUGAUCUGCCCUGUACUUCGGGAUAAGCUUGGGAAACUGGGUCUAAUACCGGAUAGGACCAUGGUUUAGUGUCUCAUGGUGGAAAAAUUAUUGUUUUGGUGCAGGAUGAGCUCGCGGCCUAUCAGCUUGUUGGUGGGGUAAUGGCCUACCAAGGCGUCGACGGGUAGCCGGCCUGAGAGGGUGGACGGCCACAUUGGGACUGAGAUACGGCCCAGACUCCUACGGGAGGCAGCAGUGGGGAAUAUUGCACAAUGGGCGCAAGCCUGAUGCAGCGACGCCGCGUGGGGGAUGACGGCCUUCGGGUUGUAAACUCCUUUCGUUAGGGACGAAGCCACACUUUUUUUGGGUGUGGUGACGGUACCUUUGUUAAGAAGCACCGGCUAACUACGUGCCAGCAGCCGCGGUAAUACGUAGGGUGCGAGCGUUGUCCGGAAUUACUGGGCGUAAAGAGCUCGUAGGUGGUUUGUUGCGUCGUCUGUGAAAUUCCGGGGCUUAACUUCGGGGUGGCAGGCGAUACGGGCAUAACUAGAGUGCUGUAGGGGAGACUGGAAUUCCUGGUGUAGCGGUGGAAUGCGCAGAUAUCAGGAGGAACACCGAUGGCGAAGGCAGGUCUCUGGGCAGUAACUGACGCUGAGGAGCGAAAGCAUGGGGAGCGAACAGGAUUAGAUACCCUGGUAGUCCAUGCUGUAAACGGUGGGCGUUAGGUGUGGGGACCGGUUUGGUUUCUGUGCCGUAGCUAACGCAUUAAGCGCCCCGCCUGGGGAGUACGGCCGCAAGGCUAAAACUCAAAGGAAUUGACGGGGGCCCGCACAAGCGGCGGAGCAUGUGGAUUAAUUCGAUGCAACGCGAAGAACCUUACCUGGGUUUGACAUGCACCAGACGGUUGUAGAGAUACGUACCUCCCUUUGUGGUUGGUGUGCAGGUGGUGCAUGGUUGUCGUCAGCUCGUGUCGUGAGAUGUUGGGUUAAGUCCCGCAACGAGCGCAACCCUUGUCUUAUGUUGCCAGCACGUUUGGGUGGGGACUCAUGAGAGACUGCCGGGGUUAACUCGGAGGAAGGUGGGGAUGACGUCAAAUCAUCAUGCCCUUUAUGCCCAGGGCUUCACACAUGCUACAAUGGUUAGUACAACGCGCGGCGAGCCUGUGAGGGUGAGCGAAUCGCUGAAAGCUAAUCUCAGUUCGGAUUGGGGUCUGCAACUCGACCCCAUGAAGUCGGAGUCGCUAGUAAUCGCAGAUCAGCAAUGCUGCGGUGAAUACGUUCCCGGGCCU
rnacentral:rRNA from 1 species